UCUGGCGCCAUGUUGCUUCGGGGCGGAAGUAGCCGAGCCCGGGCUCAGCCCCCUUAAAGGGACAGGAACUGCCGUAACCUUCGGAGCGCUCUAGGGGACGAGGGGUGAAGCGGCCGAGGAGCGGGUAGGUGAUGGUUCCUGGAUCGUCAGGGGCCCAGGCUCCUUCCAUAUUGUGGCUCUGACUUCCCCCUCAUGGUUUUAGCAUAUGUGCUGCCAAAGCCAGCACCACACCAAAGAAACUGACCUUUGAUUCAGUCCUGUCAUCUGAUAUACAGGCCACUUUC